UGUUGGUGAUUAUAAUGAUUUGGUGUUUAGUAUUUAUUUUAAACUAUUUUUGAUUAUUGUAGAUUAGUUGCAAGAGGCGCCAAAAGAAACAAUUUCGCAGAUGUUUAUUGCAAUACGUCAUUGACCUUGCGAAAUAAUUGCAGGGUUAUCAUAAGUGGCAGAAUCAUGCACUAAAUGAUGGAAUUAAAUCUUAUAAUAUUGAGAAUUACGCUUCUUUGAUCGGAGAAAGAUGAAUUGUUUUUACUGCGACGAGUGACUUAAUGGCUGAAAUGCGUUACACAUCUAUGUCUCGUGAUCUUUCAAAUGAUUCGGUUUCCACUGUACGAAUCGCCCAAUAUGGAAACUUGAAUUAUCCGGAUAAAUAUUUUACUCAUGAUACACAUUCUCUAAAUGGCCCAUUGUUACCAAAUAAUGUAAAUAAUAUCGACAAAGUUUUUAAAGAGCGUAAAGAUCAUCGCGACAAAUUCAAGGCUUACAGAAAAUAUUCAGAGUUAACGCCUCUCUCUGCUCAAAAUGGCUACGAUAAUUUUGGCAAUUCGGUGAGUUGCAAGUCAAAUUCAUUACCAGGAAGAUGUAACAGCAAUUCAGCCUCGAUUAAAAAUUUAGUCGCCCUAAAUGUUCAACCAGAAGACUUGGCCUCUCAAUUAACUCUAUUAGAUCUAAGUAUUUUUAAAUCCAUUAGGCCAGAAGAAUUGUCGAGUUGCUCUUGGAAUAAAAAGAACAAACUAAUUGUCGCUCCAAAUGUCGUCUCAUUUACAAGAAGAUUUAAUCAUGUGAGUUUCUGGACUGUUCAAGAAAUACUAAAUGCUCCAACGCCAAAGCAAAGAGGAGAAAUCUUAGCUCACUUUAUACGAGUUGCGAAACGGCUUUAUGAGUUAAAUAAUCUGCAUUCCUUAUUUGCAAUAACAUCUGCUUUACAAAGUGCUUCAAUAUACAGAUUAAACAAAACUUGGGCGUGUAUUUCAAAGAAAGAUAAAGUGACUUUUGAUAAAUUAGCCGAAGUAUUUAGUGACAAAAAUAACUGGAUGAAUUUACGUGUUCAUAUGGAUUCAAUUAAAUUACCCUGUAUUCCUUAUUUGGGUUUAUUUCUCACGGAUCUCGUUUAUAUUGACAUGGCUCAUCCUACUUCAAGGAAUGGAGAUAAUUGUCAAAGAAUAUUAAAGUUCGAUGCAGUUUUAACGCGAGUCGCUAUAUUUCAAGCUAGUGAAUAUCCAGGAAUAAUUCCCCUUCCUGAUGUUCAACAAUAUGUGAAUAGUGUUCGUUAUAUUGAGGAAUUACAAAAAUUUUUAGAAGAUGACCAUUUUAAAUUAUCAAUGAAGCUGGAACCAAAUUCUCCAGUUCCAUCAUCAAGUAGCAGUAAGGAAUCUGUGGGUGAUGUAACAGGAGUUGCAGCUCUUUCCUUAUCACCAGCAAGAGGAUGCGCUGGAUCUCUUCGAUUACAUGCAGCUUCUGCUGCAACAAAAUUUGUACCUGGUCAUCGAAAAUGUAGGAGUCUUGGCACAAAAUUUCGUAGUACGAGUCUACCUCGCAACUUCCAUAAACAAGGAGGGAAAUAUGGAUCAAACAUGACAUCUUCUGGUAUUUUUGGAAAACCAACUGCUCUACCCUUGGAUCCAAGUCAAUUGACAGUUCGACAUCUUCUAGAUGAUUCCGUUUUGGAGGAACCACAUUUAUUAUCGCAAAUUCUUGAUUUGGAUCAAAAUUCCCCUGGAUCUCCCACAGAUGCUGUAAAUGAAGAUUGCAGCUUACUCUCGAGAACUAGCACACUUACAGUAUUACCGUGCGAAUUAGAUGGAUCUGCGGAACCUUGUUGUUCAAUGCAAGGUCUAUUAAGGAGAAAAGUUAUUUUACGAGACGGUAGAAAGCCAGCAGUUUCAACGUGGCAAAGAUAUUGGGUGCAAUUGUGGGCAUCUACGAUCGUUUACUUUUCCUCCAAAUGUUUUAAGGGAAAUGACAGAUGUGACUUCAAGAGAGAACCCUAUAAAAUGGUUUCGAUUUUUGGAUGGAUUGUGGAACCGUCAAAUAGUUGUAUUCAUCCCGAUACAUUUUUGUUGACAGAUCCUUUGAAAGGAAAUGUUUAUAAAUUUCGGGCUUCAUCGAGGGAGCUCGCGGAUCAAUGGCUGAAGGAAUUGCGGGCUACUGUUCGCGGUGCGACAGAAAAAAAGCCAAUACCAGUGAAUCUCAUGUCGUUCGAAACUUCAAUUAAUUUGGAAAAAAUUCACUGAUUAUUUUUCAAGAAAAUGGGAAAUACCGAGAGUAAUGUUGCAAGUGCUGUGAAAAAGCAAACAGAUACAUCAUCUAUUGUGCUUUACAAAUUAGUCGAUUUAAAAGGUGGUGGAUUAUUGGUGGACAUGAUGAAACGAGCAUCACAGACGAAGCAAUUUGCAGAAUUAGAUCACACAUUACGAACAAAAGUGGAACCUUUUUUGUACAAUAAAGGAAAAGGCAAAUGGAUUCCCG